UACGGAAGGCAGCAGUGGGGAAUAUUGCACAAUGGGCGCAAGCCUGAUGCAGCCAUGCCGCAUGAGUGAAGAAGGCCUUCGGGUUGUAAAGCUCUUUAGUGAGAAAGAUAAUGACGGUACUCACAGAAGAAGUCCUGGCUAACUCCGUGCCAGCAGCCGCGGUAAUACGGAGAGGGCUAGCGUUAUUCGGAAUUAUUGGGCGUAAAGAGCGCGUAGGCUGAUUAGUAGUUAAAGUGAAUCCCAAGCUUAACUUGGAAUUGCUUUUUAAAACUGCUAGUCUAGAGAUUGAAAGAGGAUAGAGGAAUUCCUAGUGUAGAGGUGAAAUUCGUAAAUAUUAGGAGGAACACCAGUGGCGAAGGCGUCUAUCUGGUUCAAAUCUGACGCUGAGGGCGCGAAGGCGUGGGGAGCGAAACAGGGAUUAGAUACC
rnacentral:rRNA from 1 species